GGGGGCGUGUCCUGGGCCCGCCCCACUGAGCGCGGUCUGCGGCCGGGUCCCAGUCAGCCCCUUGGGCCUCGCCCUACGGGCCCCUGCAGUCUCCCUCCCCCGGGAGGUUCGCGGGCACCCUUGCCGCUGCUCCCGCUCCCCAGUGGGGCUCUAGCUUGGGGCUGAUGCUGUCUGAGUCGCCUUCCCCAUUCCUAAGACGGGAGGCGCCCAGCCCAGGCUUGGUGCGCGGCAGGGGCCUCCGGGUACGAGAAGCGAUUGUCGACGCGGGGGCCGGACCUGGGGCUUCAGCCCCGAGGAGCAGCAGCGAGAGGGCAGAAGGGGCGGGCAGGGCCACCGCUGGCGCUGAGGACGUCGUGAGCACCACCUUAGUGUUGCCGGGCAGCUGCGUCUGGGGAGGCCUCUCCCUCUUCAUUAGGGCAGCAUGACUCCUACUGGACCCCACGCUGGGUGAGCACGAGAAACACUGAUGCUAAGACAAUCUUGCAGCAUUUCCACAGGAAGAGAGUUGCCUGAACCUUGUAGUGGCCGCGAAACUGAGGCCCAGAAAGGGAAACGGCAUUGCUCCCAGACACACAGCAAGUGCACAGCCGAGGCUGGACCCAGAUCUGCCUGACUCCCAGCCCAGUGAGUGAGAAGAAAUUGCCCCCAAGGGGCUGGGAAGUUGGGAUAGCAGAGAGGGAACCCCUCCUGGGGUGGGGUCCUGGGGACUCUCUGGCUUUGAUGAUACCCUAAACAAGGGCCUGGGGUUGCAGCCUGAGUUGGGGUCAUGCUGGAGAAGGGGAGACUCCUGCUGUCCUUCCUUCUGUCUUCUCUUCAUGAUUCUCAGCUCUGUGCUUGCUCUCUCACUGCUAAUUUCUUCUGGUCUUCCUUCAAACAACUGUAAAAUGCUUAAGGCAUUUAUUAAAGAGCAUUGGAGUUCUUUAACAAUAUACAUACAUGGUAGUAUAUACAUAAUGUAAAAUUUACCAUUUUCACCGUUUUAAAGAGUAUAGCUUAGUGGCAUUAAGUACGUUCACGUUGUGCAACCAUCACCACCAUCCAUCUACAGAACUUAUUCAUCUUUCCAAACUGAAUGGAGUUUCUUGCUGAAUAAGAUGAAUGUGAAAUUAA